GUGAAUCAUCGAAUCUUUGAACGCACAUUGCACUCUAUUCACGUAGAGUAUGCCUGUUUGAGAAUCUAUAGUAUUCUUUUUUUAAAUUACCUUCCACUUGCAAAAGUGGUAUAGUAAUUUGAAAAGUUUUGUAGAAUCCAUUUCAUUAUGGUUCUAUUAAAUCUAUAGCUUAGUUUACUUUAGAAAAUGAUGACUUUUCUAUAAAAACUUUGUCGAAAAGUAUUUGAAUGAACUUUCAGUUCUCCCUAUACUAAUUACGCAAAGAGAGAAUAGUUUUCUAUAGUGAAUUGAGUUCAUAAC
rnacentral:misc_RNA from 1 species